UGGUCCUGAACUGGUCCUAAUCUGGUCCUGAACUGGUCCUAAUCUGGUCCUAAUCUGGUCCUAAACUGGUCCUAAUCUGGUCCUAAUCUGGUCCUGAACUGGUCCUACAAGUACAACUGUAGCGAUUAAUACGCAGAACAUAUACACUCAUAGACUCACACAGACACUCACUCAUCGCAUUCUAUGUUCACACAAAGACAGCCACUCUACAUAUGUACCCUCACAUUGACCUGAAUACACUCAAACAAAUAGUUACAAAUCAAUCUACUCCUAGCCAUAUGUUGGCAUCUCCCACGCACCACACAUGAAGGAGAAAAUGAGAGGCUGGAAAAUAACCAGGAAUUAAUUCUCUGUGGAAUGUUGUUAGAUCACGGUUUGAGACAGGUGACCUGGAGAGAGAUCAGGAGGUUGGGAAAGGCAGAAAAGUGCCCAGGGUGUUAGGUGCUAUGCAGACUAGAAUGGAAAGACACUUCCACUGUACGUGUUGCAUGAUAUUGAUUCAUUUUGUAUCUCAAUGAUGAAAUUGUUCACAUGUUGGACUGGUUACUGGCAUAGUGAAAUCCUCAAGGAAUACAUGAGUGAAACAGCCUUCUUGGUCAAUGGCACUGUCCCUCAACUGACGGCCCGCGUGACAAUUUGUUUGUCCCCCAUGUUGUUUGAGCAAAAACAUUUUUAUUUUAUUUAUUUAUUUGUAUUGUUGGACUUUAAAGACUGUAAAAACACCAGGAAAUCAGCUUCAAGUGAAUGAGAGACCAGAUGCUGCUAGAGGUGGCGUUAGAGGGCCAGUAGUCUUCCCUCUGGUCUAAGGAGAUCUAAAUGCCCCACUGCAGUGAAGGGGACAUUGCCCUGUGUAGGGUGCUGUCUUUGGGAUGCUAAACAAGCAUCCUGACUCUGUGGUCAUUCAACAUCCCAUGACUCUAAGAGUACUGUAGGGGUGUCAUGGCAAAAUCCCAUGACUCUAAGAGUACUGUAGGGGUGUCAUGGCAAAAUCCCAUGACUCUAAGAGUACUGUAGGGGUGUCAUGGCAAAAUCCCAUGACUCUAAGAGUACUGUAGGGGUGUCAUGGCAAAAUCCCAUGACUCUAAGAGUACUGUAGGGGUGUCAUGGCAAAAUUCUAUCAUGGCCACCUAAUUAUUCUUCUCAUUCCUAACUGGCAUAUAUCACUCACCUGUGUGGUGAGCAGUCCUAUCUCUACAGACCUAUCUCUACAGUCCUAUCUCUGCAGUCCUAUCUCUGCAGUCCUAUCUCUACAGUCCUAUCUCUACAGUCCUAUCUCUACAGUCCUAUCUCUACAGUCCUAUCUCUGCAGUCCUAUCUCUACAGUCCUAUCUCUAUAGUCCUAUCUCUACAGUCCUAUCUCUACAGUCCUAUCUCUACAGUCCUAUCUCUGCAGUCCUAUCUCUGCAGUCCUAUCUCUACAGUCCUAUCUCUACAGUCCUAUCUCUACAGUCCUAUCUCUACAGUCCUAUCUCUGCAGUCCUAUCUCUACAGUCCUAUCUCUGCAGUCCUAUCUCUACAGUCCUAUCUCUACAGUCCUAUCUCUACAGUCCUAUCUCUACAGUCCUAUCUCUACAGUCCUAUCUCUGCAGUCCUAUCUCUACAGUCCUAUCUCUACAGUCCUAUCUCUGCAGUCCUAUCUCUGCAGUCCUAUCUCUGCAGUCCUAUCUCUAUAGUCCUAUCUCUACAGUCCUAUCUCUACAGUCCUAUCUCUGCAGUCCUAUCUCUGCAGUCCUAUCUCUACAGUCCUAUCUCUGCAGUCCUAUCUCUACAGUCCUAUCUCUGCAGUCCUAUCUCUACAGUCCUAUCUCUGCAGCUUCAGGGCAAAGACAUUAUCUCUGAUCUAUUAUUCAUUUAAAUAUUCGUUAUUCAUCAUAAUUCAUGAUUUGGUUAAGUGCUCUUAUGCAUGGGGCCACCACUUUGUUCCUUACGGCAGCACCUUGACUCCUGCCACACAUGCAUGGAAUCAUCUGUCCCAGAUCAAAGGAGGAUGGAGAGAGUGAAAGAGAGGAGUGGGGGAUCGUGGGGUUCCCCUCUGCAUGUCUGAAGGCUCCUGAAGGCUCUAGUGGGAAACCUGCUGCCAACCAGCUGUACCUUACAUCUCCAUCUGUCGCAACUCUGAUCGCCUGACCCUAAACUGACAGGACCUUGACCUUCAACCCUAGCGACAAGCAGGCCUGGGGAACCUGGGGAACCUGGGAGGGCGUGUCUUCUGGCGCCAAUACCCCUUGGCACUCCAGGAACUCAGGAUCGUGAUCCACACCACAAUUGCAACACUGUCGUCCUUCUACACACCGUUCUUCAGUAUACUGCAGUUCAUCUGAACACACUUGAAUCAAAUCAAAAUCAAAUCCAAUUUGUAUUUGUCACAUGCGCCGGAUACACCAGGUGUAGUAGACCUUACCGUGAAAUGCUUACGCACCAACAAUGUAGUUCAAGAAAAAUAGGUAAGAAAAGAUUUACUAAAUAAACUAAAGUAAAAAAAAAAUGGAAUCAAUCAAGAGUAACACAAGAAAUGUAUGUUACAAUGUGGAGACUAUAUACAGGGUGUUACGGUACAGAGUCAAUGUGGAGACUAUAUACAGGGUGUUA